rnacentral:piRNA from 1 species
UACAGAUGGGGUGAUUGUGGGU